rnacentral:rRNA from 1 species
GACGUAGGGAGCAAGCGUUGUCCGGAAUUACUGGGCGUAAAGGGCUCGUAGGCGGCCAACUAAGUCAGACGUGAAAUCCCUCAGCUUAACUGGGGAACUGCGUCUGAUACUGGAUGGCUUGGAUUCGGGAGAGGAAUGCGGAAUUCCAGGUGUAGCGGUGAAAUGCGUAGAUAUCUGGAGGAACACCGGUGGCGAAGGCGGCAUUCUGGACCGAUAUUGACGCUGAGGAGCGAAAGCCAGGGGAGCAAACGGG